rnacentral:rRNA from 1 species
GACAGAGGUUGCAAGCGUUGUUCGGAAUUACUGGGCGUAAAGCGUGCGCAGGCGGUUUUGUAAGCCAGAUGUGAAAUCCCCGGGCUUAACCUGGGAAUGGCAUUUGGGACUGCAAGGCUCGAGUGCGGCAGAGGAGACUGGAAUUCCUGGUGUAGCAGUGAAAUGCGUAGAUAUCAGGAGGAACACCGAUGGCGAAGGCAGGUCUCUGGGCUGACACUGACGCUCAUGCACGAAAGCGUGGGGAGCAAACAGG